GACGAACGCUGGCGGCGUGCCUAAUACAUGCAAGUAGAACGCUGAAGGAGGAGCUUGCUUCUCUGGAUGAGUUGCGAACGGGUGAGUAACGCGUAGGUAACCUGCCUGGUAGCGGGGGAUAACUAUUGGAAACGAUAGCUAAUACCGCAUAACAGUAGAUGUUGCAUGACAUUUGCUUAAAAGGUGCAAUUGCAUCACUACCAGAUGGACCUGCGUUGUAUUAGCUAGUUGGUGGGGUAACGGCUCACCAAGGCGACGAUACAUAGCCGACCUGAGAGGGUGAUCGGCCACACUGGGACUGAGACACGGCCCAGACUCCUACGGGAGGCAGCAGUAGGGAAUCUUCGGCAAUGGACGGAAGUCUGACCGAGCAACGCCGCGUGAGUGAAGAAGGUUUUCGGAUCGUAAAGCUCUGUUGUAGGAGAAGAACGAGUGUGAGAGUGGAAAGUUCACACUGUGACGGUAUCUACCAGAA
rnacentral:rRNA from 1 species